rnacentral:rRNA from 1 species
CCCUUAGACGUUCUGGGCCGCACGCGCGCUACACUGACGAAGGCAACGAGCUUUCCUUUACCGAAAGGUACGGGUAAUCUUUUGAAACUUCGUCGUGCUGGGGAUAGAUCCUUGCAAUUAUUGAUCUUAAACGAGGAAUUCCUAGUAAGCGCAAGUCAUCAACUUGCGUUGAUUACGUCCCUGCCCUUUGUACACACCGCCCGUCACUACUACCGAUUGAAUGGUUUAGUGAGGCCUUCGGAUCCGCGACUCGUUUUGUGGAGAAGUUGGACAAACUCAGUCAUUUAGAGGAAGUAAAAGUCGUAACA